UGAGGAAUCUUGCGCAAUGGGGGAAACCCUGACGCAGCGACGCCGCGUGCGGGAUGAAGGCCUUCGGGUCGUAAACCGCUUUUCUGGAGGACGAGGAAGGACGGUACUCCAGGAAUAAGUCCCGGCUAACUACGUGCCAGCAGCCGCGGUAAAACGUAGGGGGCGAGCGUUAUCCGGAAUCACUGGGCGUAAAGGGCGUCUAGGCGGUUUUCUAAGUCCUGCGUGAAAGCUCCUGGCUCAACUAGGAGAGCGCGUGGGAGACUGGGAAGCUAGAGACUCGGAGAGGGGUGUGGAAUUCCCGGUGGAGUGGUGAAAUGCGUUGAGAUCGGGAGGAACACCAGUGGCGAAGGCGGCACCCUGGCCGAGUUCUGACGCUGAAGCGCGACAGCGUGGGGAGCAAACGGGAUUAGAUACCCCCGUAGUCC
rnacentral:rRNA from 1 species